UGCGCAGGCAGGCUUGUAAGUCAGUGGUGAAAUACUGCCGCUUAACGGUAGAACUGCCAUUGAUACUGCGAGUCUUGAAUAUGGUUGAGGUAGGCGGAAUGUGUUGUGUAGCGGUGAAAUGCAUAGAUAUGACACAGAACGCCAAUUGCGAAGGCAGCUUACUAAGCCAUUAUUGACGCUGAGGCACGAAAGCGUGGGGAGCGAACAGGAUUAGAUACCCUGGUAGUCC
rnacentral:rRNA from 1 species